rnacentral:rRNA from 1 species
GACGAACGCUGGCGGCGUGCCUAAUACAUGCAAGUCGAACGCUUUUUCUUUCACGGAGCUUGCUCCACCGAAAGAAAAAGAGUGGCGAACGGGUGAGUAACACGUGGGUAACCUGCCCAUCAGAAGGGGAUAACACUUGGAAACAGGUGCUAAUACCGUAUAACACUAUUUUCCGCAUGGAAGAAAGUUGAAAGGCGCUUUUGCGUCACUGAUGGAUGGACCCGCGGUGCAUUAGCUAGUUGGUGAGGUAACGGCUCACCAAGGCAACGAUGCAUAGCCGACCUGAGAGGGUGAUCGGCCACACUGGGACUGAGACACGGCCCAGACUCCUACGGGAGGCAGCAGUAGGGAAUCUUCGGCAAUGGACGAAAGUCUGACCGAGCAACGCCGCGUGAGUGAAGAAGGUUUUCGGAUCGUAAAACUCUGUGUUAGAGAAGAACAAGGAUGAGAGUAAU